rnacentral:lncRNA from 1 species
AUGAAAAUGAGUCACAGCCUUCCCUUCCCCCAGCUUCGGGAGAGGUGGGGAGCACGCCGUGGCUCUGAGGAGGCCAGUCUCUGGGGCCGGGACCAGUCGGGUCAAGGGGAUGUUGACCGUGCUGCCGCUGCCCUUCCCGGCAGUCCCUGCCCAGGGCGAGGGGCUCAGCCCCUGCCCCAGACCCCCCGGGGAAAGUUUCUCCGGAAGGUGAAGGCAGUUCUGGCCAGGCCGCCGGAAAUCCCUGAUGUGUGGGCCCUGACCUGGGAGGGCCCAGAGAACAAUGUUGGGGCCUUGGUGGCCGGCAGGAUGCUGUGCGGCCAGCGGGGCCUCCAGGCACGCUGCCCCGGUUCCUCUCCGCAGCCUGGAACACCGGCCGCAGGCCUGACCCUGAACCCCGGGCGCCGGCGCUGGCUUCCGUGGCUCUGCCCGAAGCCGGGACCACGGGUGGUUCCAAGGCGCUUCACCUCUCCAGCCACCUUGGGAGCCGAGGGCUGGCAGCGGCCACCCCGCAGGGGUGUAACGAGGGUAGGAAGAAUCAAUCUGGGUUCAAGUCCUGACCCUGCCCACCUACCAGUCGCGUGGCCUGGGGCGCCUCACCGCCCCAUUCUGAUGCCCAGCUGUGACAUCAGUACAGUGAGGCGACGGUGGCUGGCUCUCUCUGUAGGCACAUUAGCAUGCGUCACGUCACUGAGCCCUUCUCCACGACCCCGGGACACCCGGCCUUCUGUCACCACUUUACCGACGAGGAAGGCGAGGCCCAGAGCACUUGAGCCUCAACAGGUGUCGGGGCUCGGCUCUGAACUCGGGCGUGUCUGAUCCCCAAGUCUCUGGGUCCUUAGCCAUUGGCUCUACUGCUUUCCCUUGGGGACAAGGUGAGGCACUGUUUUGAGCCUCAGUGGCGCCAUCUGCAAGCUGGGCCGGUAACCACCACUGCAGAAUGAGGUCCCGGUGAGGCAUGUAGAAGUCCCUAGCUGGAGCCCAGAAAGUGUCCGUGGCUUUGCCUUCCCACUCCCCCCGCC